GACAUGGUGGCUUAGUGGUUAGCAUGUUUGACUCAUAGCUCUGGGGUUGGGGGUUCGAUUCCCCACCUCUGCCG